GUUCUCUUAGCUUCCCAAUAUAGGUACAGUUUAACCUUAGCCAGAUCAGUAUUUUCACAGCUGUGUCAUCUGCUGCAGUUUCCUCUCACUUUUCCCGCGGAGUUCUUGGUGGCCUCUGGAAGCAGGUCCCUAUCUUUGCAGUCUGCGCACGUUUUUAUGUCCCUGCCUCUAACCUGGCCGUAGACCGGCCAGCCACCGCGUCGGUUGUCUCUGAUCACAGACGCAGUCGAGGGCCUGUAGGUUUCGUCUCCCGGAAGCCACUUCUCAGUCCUCAAGGCCGGGCGACAGCAGCGAGGGGGUCCCCCGCCAUGCUGUGGAGCUGGCUGCUUCAUGCUUGUCCCGUGAGAAUAACUUGCUGAAGCCAAGCCAGAGCAGCACUGUACUCGUGAGCUCCCCUUUCCUGUUUUCGGGCCCUUCAUGGAAACCCGAGGGAACAAAGCUCUCAUGUUUAUGAGGUGAAGUCUGGGUGUCGGGCCCUGGCCUCCUGCUGCCCAUUGAAUCUGAGCAUCUGGAGAAGAAAGCCACACUCUUGGCUGAAUGAAAACAACCUGAAUCCGACGCCUGCAGCCGGCGAAGCUGUGCUGUGCCACGGGCGCGUCACCAGCAGGACUCUGCCCUCCCGAGCCAAGCUCCCGCAGCUAAAAAUAGCCUCGGCCUUUCCCGGAGACUUGAAAACAGGAACAACCUGCUGCUGUGCCCGAGAGGGCACCGGCCCUGUGCCACCGGGCUCCACACAGCGGGCAGACCCGCCAAGCCGGGCCGGCACUCCAGGCUGGGAGCUGACGCCGGCCUCCCCACCUGCUAACCUUGUCACGCGGGCAACACCAAGACUGAAAACAAGGACUAGGACCUGGUAUGUGCUGCCCACCACCCCGCAGUUCUCACCACGGGCUGUGGACCAUGUGUCAUCGUCAUCGUCACCGCCACGGCUGUGUGGUGAGGACAGCGCGGCUGGGGGGGUGAAACAAGAGGCCUGAGAGCCACAGGCCAUGGACCGGACCCUCGGAAGCCACGAGCGAGAGCGGCUCCAGGAGUGUGCAGGGUGCUGUGGGGAGCUGACAACCACCAGGAGGUUGCAUCCAACCAGGGGCCUUCUGCUGUCGCCCAAGCAGAGCAGUGGACGUGGCUGCCGGGGCUGCGUCCCAGCCACCGAGCAAAGUGCCCGGACGAUGCUGCAGUCACGGAGGAGACGGCACGGGGAGGAGCGGUGGCCACCUGAGGAGGAGAGAGCACUCCAGAGCGGCUUCAGAAAGAAGCAGGAAGGAUGAGAUGAACGUGUCUGAGGCAGGGAGGAGCCCGGCCUGCUCACGCACACCUGUAAUCCAGUGCCCCAGAGGCUGAAGCAAGAGAAUCUCCAUGAGUUUGAGGCCAGCCUGGGAUACAUACUCCAGUGGGAUACAACUCCAGACUCUGUCUCCAGAAGUAAAUAAACAAACAAACAAACAAA